ACUGAGAAAAACGGUAUUCCUCUCCCUCCUGAUCUCCCUCUACCCCAGCAUUACGACCCCGAGCCACAGCCCCCUGGCCGACAAGAGGGAUAUCAACGAGGUGCAAGAAUCCGUGAGGAUGUCAUGCGGCGUUUGUAAAGAAAGACAAAACUCAAGGACUGCGUCAGUGAGUACCCGACCACUUUUGGACGUGCCAGACGCAGAAGGGGCACUGCUUUGAGCCGGACGCUGUGCAUCUGCAUCUGAGAACCCCUCACCCUGAACCUCCUGUUCAUUUACAGCUUCAGACUCCGGAAGGACUGGAGGACAAACAAUUGGCAACAUUUAUCCAUUUAUCACCCCACACACUCAAAUGUACAGCGUUAAUGAUUAAAAAUCGGUUUAACCUUG